CAGUAGCCGCGGGAAUACGAAGGGUGCAAGCGUUAAUCGGAAUUACUGGGCGUAAAGGGAGCGUAGGCGGCGUGGUAAGUCAGAUGUGAAAUCCCGGGGCUCAACCCCGGAACUGCAUCCGAUACUGCCAUGCUUGAGGGUUGGAGAGGUAGCUGGAGUUCUCGGUGUAGCAGUGAAAUGCGUGGAUAUCGAGAGGAACACUCGUGGCGAAGGCGAGCUACUGGACAACAUCUGACGCUGAGGCUCGAAGGCUAGGGUAGCGAAAGGGAUUAGAUACCCCCGUAGUCCCUGUCUCUUAUAC
rnacentral:rRNA from 1 species